UCAAAACUUCAAGUGCUCAUAAC
rnacentral:piRNA from 1 species